rnacentral:rRNA from 1 species
AUGAACGCUGGCGGCGUGGAUAAGGCAUGCAAGUCGAACGGUUUUCUUUAUUGAGAAGAUGCGAUUACAUCAAAUUAACAGAUAUUUUGAAAACAGUGGCGAACGAGCUAGUAACACCUUGGUACGUACCCGAAAGUUUGGUAUAGCUCGCCGAAAGGCGGGGUAAUCCCAAAUAGUCCCUUCAUCUAUCGGAUGAUAGGGUAAAGUAGCAAUACGCUUUCGGAUCGGCCUAGGUCCGAUCAGUUAGUUGGUGAGGUAAUGGCUCACCAAGACAAUGACCGGUAGGGG